CCUACGGGGAGCAGCAGUGAGGAAUAUUGGUCAAUGGACGCAAGUCUGAACCAGCCAUGCCGCGUGCAGGAAGACGGCUCCAUGAGUUGUAAACUGCUUUUGUACGAGGGUAAACGCAGAUACGCGUAUCUGUCUGAAAGUACCGUACGAAUAAGGAUCGGCUAACUCCGUGCCAGCAGCCGCGGUAAUACGGAGGAUUCAAGCGUUAUCCGGAUUUAUUGGGUUUAAAGGGUGCGUAGGCGGUCGGGUAAGUUAGAGGUGAAAUCCCGGGGCUCAACUUCGGAAUUGCCUCUGAUACUGUUGGGCUAGAGAGUGGUUGCGGUAGGCGGAAUGUAUGGUGUAGCGGUGAAAUGCUUAGAGAUCAUACAGAACACCGAUUGCGAAGGCAGCUUACCGGGCUACAUCUGACGUUGAGGCACGAAAGCGUGGGGAGCGAACAGGAUUAGAUACCCUUGUAGUC
rnacentral:rRNA from 1 species